rnacentral:lncRNA from 1 species
CUUUCGUUAGACAACAAAUGGAUCAUCUGAUUGAUAUCUCAGUAUUAGGAAAUCAUUAUCAGGCUCCAGAAAAUGAUUUUCUGUUACAGAACUGGGAUUAUUUAUUUAUUUCGGUACCAAUGAAUGUAUUUUUCACUCAAUGGAGAUUUUCCAUUUUUGGCCCACAGCAAUAUCCGGAGAGAGAGCGAGAGAUUCCUAUAGAAUACAAGACAAGACUAUCACAAUGACUUCAACAUGACUUGCUCUAGGAUGACCAAAGGAAGGGGAUCUGAAUGAGCCAUCUUAGAGGCUCCAAGGUGCCUGCUUCAGAACACUGAUGGAUGACUACAUGUGGGCUGAAGGUAAUGAGGUUGGUCAGCUGGAGGGCUUUCACCAGGCCCUUAAUCUGUCACCCCCUUGACACCUGCCUUCCCCUGAAAAGUGACAAAUGAUACAUUGAGUCAUGGUGGUAAUGUAAACCUCAGUGUAUUCUAGAAUCCCACAUCUACUGUUCUUAUGACAAGC